UACGGAGGGUGCAAGCGUUAUCCGGAUUCACUGGGUUUAAAGGGUGCGUAGGCGGGCAUUUAAGUCAGUGGUGAAAUACCUGAGCUUAACUUGGGAACUGCCAUUGAUACUAUUUGUCUUGAAUGUCGUGGAGGUUAGCGGAAUAUGUCAUGUAGCGGUGAAAUGCUUAGAUAUGACAUAGAACACCUAUUGCGAAGGCAGCUAACUACGCGAAUAUUGACGCUGAGGCGCGAAAGCGUGGGGAGCAAACAGG
rnacentral:rRNA from 1 species